UAUAUAUCUAUCAUCACUUUACGCAGAAUGCAAUGUGUCGGCAGUUACUGCACAUCACACGCAGCACCGCUUAGGUUCACUGCUUUACCAAAAGAACAUACCCAACUUCCUUUAAGGGCCUUCUGCUUUUUUGGCUGUGAAGCCUAGGCCUCUGACUGAGGUAAUGUAACAUUUAUGUGAAGCAGCUGUUCAGAAGAGGAAGCACAUUGCAAUUUGAAAAUAAAGACAGCGGUGCAGAAUUGCAUUUCAGCAGGGGGCAAAUGAUUACAAUUCGACAUCCUGUUUAUGACCAGACUUUGGGAGUGUGAGUGUUAACAAUGCAGGAAAAGGGAUGCACACCACACACUUCUGUGAAAUGCGUAAUCCAUUAUCAUUGGCUUGUUACUAUUGGCCUAAGGUGAAGACUCACAUAUGGUCCUCUGGGUUGGCAGCCCUUCAACUCAGUGAAAUGGUCAUUCCUCAUGCAUGAGUCUCAAAGAGCUGCUUUACUUUGGAAGUUGUGAGAACUGAGCCUACCCUUGCUUGUUCACUACUUCUACGUCUUUUCCAAACAGUUGGUGGACUGCGCAUUUAGCUUACUUCAGUCUGGUAAUCCCAGGAUACCGAAACAAGUUGUAGAUUCCUCAACUAAUCAUCAA